CCUACGGGAGGCUGCAGUGAGGAAUAUUGGUCAAUGGACGAGAGUCUGAACCAGCCAAGUAGCGUGAAGGAUGACUGCCCUAUGGGUUGUAAACUUCUUUUAUAUGGGAAUAAAACAGGGUAUGCAUACCCUCUUGUAUGUACCAUAUGAAUAAGGAUCGGCUAACUCCGUGCCAGCAGCCGCGGUAAUACGUAGGAGGCAAGCGUUAUCCGGAAUGACUGGGCGUAAAGGGUGCGUAGGUGGUUUGACAAGUUAGUAGCGCAACUCCGGAGCUCAACUUCGGAACUACUACUAAAACUGUUGGACUUGAGUGCAGGAGGGGCAAUCGGAAUUCCUAGUGUAGCGGUGGAAUGCGUAGAUAUUAGGAGGAACACCAGUGGCGAAGGCGGAUUGCUAGACUGUAACUGACACUGAGGUACGAAAGCGUGGGGAGCAAACAGGAUUAGAUACCCCUGUAGUC
rnacentral:rRNA from 1 species